UACAGAGGGGGCAAGCGUUAUUCGGAAUUAUUGGGCGUAAGGGCGCGUAGGCGGCUUGGCAAGUGGAUGGUGAAAUCCCUCGGCUUAACCGAGGAACUGCCAUCCAGACUGCUUUGCUUGAGGCCGGGAGAGGUGAGUGGAAUUCCCAGUGUAGCGGUGAAAUGCGUAGAUAUUGGGAGGAACACCAGUGGCGAAGGCGGCUCACUGGACCGGUUCUGACGCUGAGGCGCGAAGCGUGGGGAGCAACGG
rnacentral:rRNA from 1 species